GCUCAGUAACACGUGGAGAACGUGCCCUUAAGUGGGGGAUAAUCUCGGGAAAUUGAGGAUAAUACCCCAUAGAUCAUGGCAUCUGGAAUGAGUCAUGGUUCAAAGUUCCGGCGCUUAAGGAUCGCUCUGCGGCCUCUCAGGUAGUAGUGGGUGUAAAGUACCCCCUAGCCUACGACGGGUAUGGGCCUUGAGAGAGGGAGCCCAGAGUUGGAUUCUGAGACACGAAUCCAGGCCCUACGGGGCGCAGCAGUCGCGAAAACUUCACACUGGGGGCAACCCCGAUGAGGGAAAUCCUAGUGCUAGGACUUUUGUUCUAGCUUUUCUCAAGCGUAGAUAACUUGAGGAAUAAGGGCUGGGUAAGACGGGUGCCAGCCGCCGCGGUAAUACCUGCAGCCCAAGUGGUGGUCGAUUUUAUUGAGUCUAAAACGUUCGUAGCCGGUUUGGUAAAUCUUUGGGUAAAUCGGGAGGCUUAACUUUCCGACUUCCGAAGAGACUGCCAAACUUGGGACCGGGAGAGGCUAGAGGUACUUCUGGGGUAGGGGUAAAAUCCUGUAAUCCUAGAAGGACCACCGGUGGCGAAGGCGUCUAGCUAGAACGGAUCCGACGGUGAGGGACGAAGCCCUGGGUCGCAAACGGGAUUAGAUACCCCGGUAGUCCAGGGUGUAAACGCUGCCGACUUGGUGUUGGAGGCCCUUCGGGGGCAUUCAGUGCCGGAGAGAAGUUGUUAAGUCGGCUACUUGGGGAGUACGUCCGCAAGGAUGAAACUUAAAGGAAUUGGCGGGGGAGCAC
rnacentral:rRNA from 1 species